rnacentral:rRNA from 1 species
GAUGAACGCUGGCGGCGUGCCUAAUACAUGCAAGUCGAGCGAACGGACGAGGAGCUUGCUCCUUUGACGUUAGCGGCGGACGGGUGAGUAACACGUGGAUAACCUACCUAUAAGACUGGGAUAACUUCGGGAAACCGGAGCUAAUACCGGAUAAUAUAUUGAACCGCAUGGUUCAAUAGUGAAAGACGGUUUUGCUGUCACUAAUAGAUGGAUCCGCGCCGCAUUAGCUAGUUGGUAAGGUAACGGCUUACCAAGGCAACGAUGCGUAGCCGACCUGAGAGGGUGAUCGGCCACACUGGAACUGAGACACGGUCCAGACUCCUACGGGAGGCAGCAGUAGGGAAUCUUCCGCAAUGGGCGAAAGCCUGACGGAGCAACGCCGCGUGAGUGAUGAAGGUCUUCGGAUCGUAAAACUCUGUUAUUAGGGAAGAACAAAUGUGUAAGUAACUAUGCACGUCUUGACGGUACCUAAUCAGAAAGCCACGGCUAACUACGUG